UUCUUCAUUACUCAAAAUGACGGCGCCAACGCAGACAAGGCUUUUCACUGUGAAAGAGGUUGUAUCUACGUUGGUUGGUGAUAUAGAUUCGGAAACGUCCUUGCACUUUAAAAAGCGAUGAUGUCGAGGGAACUGGACAAGCAAUUUGCACAGAGAAAUUCAACAAGACCUUCAUACUUCAAGAGGGCAAACCGUCAGAAGAAGAAACAGACGAAUUCGACUAUGACAUCUUCAUCGCCCCAAAGGAUGCCAUCUAUUUCAUCCAUGGCCAGGUGACGAUGGCAGACGGCAAGGGGAAAGUCUACCUGUUUUGGAAACUCAAAAGCAGCCGUAAGAUCAAAACCAACAACGGAACCUGCCCUGAGAUCACCUUCGCUACCGAGGUCAAGUUGUUGAAAGGCGGUCGGGUUUACCUAGUCUUCAACGCGGGCAAACCCAACCUGAAAGAGAGCACUUUCUCAGUCUACGAGCUCGUCGAGCAGUGACCGGAGCUGAUACAUUUCUAAAUGCAACUUAAAAUCGUAACAUUUGCUUAAAAGAAUCGGCAGUAAAUACUGAUACAUUACAUGCAUACGUGUUCACGUGUGUACAAUAAUUAUACAUUGAUUGUACAAAACAUUAGGAACACCUUCCUAAUAUUGAGUUGCACCCCCUUUUGCCUUCAGAACAGCCUC